GAUGAACGCUAGCGGGAGGCCUAACACAUGCAAGCCGAGCGGUAUUGUUUCUUCGGAAAUGAGAGAGCGGCGUACGGGUGCGUAACACGUGUGCAACCUGCCUUUAUCUGGGGGAUAGCCUUUCGAAAGGAAGAUUAAUACUCCAUAAUAUAUUGAACGGCAUCGUUUAAUAUUGAAAGCUCCGGCGGAUAGAGAUGGGCACGCGCAAGAUUAGCUAGUUGGUGAGGUAACGGCUCACCAAGGCGAUGAUCUUUAGGGGGCCUGAGAGGGUGAUCCCCCACACUGGUACUGAGACACGGACCAGACUCCUACGGGAGGCAGCAGUGAGGAAUAUUGAUCAAUGGGUGCAAGCCUGAACCAGCCAUCCCGCGUGAAGGACGACUGCCCUAUGGGUUGUAAACUUCUUUUGUAUAGGGAUAAACCUACCCUCGGGAGGGUAGCUGAAGGUACUAUACGAAUAAGCACCGGCUAACUCCGUG
rnacentral:rRNA from 1 species